CGAAGACCCAGAGAAUCUCCUAGGUUCUCCCUUUGCUGGCGACCUCAUCCACCAUCAAAACCUCCGCCAGGGUCCUGGCUGAGUCAUCAUCCAUCACAGCAGGCUGGUACAACAUCACAGUGGAGGACAAUUCUCUAGGGACCACAGAGGAUAUGAAUGUGACCUGGGUUAGCAAAGGCCUCCCCAAGAAGCUGGAGCAGAGUGGGGCACCAGGAUCAGCCCCCAAUCCCUGGACCUUGGCUGUGAGCCUGCCUGAGCCUGAGCCAGUGCAAUGCCGGUCUUCUGUAUGUGGUCAGAAACUUCAGACACCAGAAAACUGUCACCUUAGAUGUUGGAAGAGUCUGUUGAGCUUAACAAAUUGCCAGCAAGCCCCUACAGUUACAUUUCUGCAAAGCAAUGUUCUUCAGGUGGGGAAAUAAAGAACUUCCACCUCUAGCCAGAGAAGAAGCCCAGACCACAUGCGUAAGAGACUUUGCAUUUUGGCAACUGACUGACUCCACCUGGACUCAUGACUCAACUGGUCUUGUGGCCCCCAACCAAGAGCUGGGCUCAGCACAUGAGGAUGGUUUUCCACACCCCUAUGAUUGCAUCCCCAACCAAUCAGUAGCACUCAUUCCUGAGUCCCGUACCCACCAAACUAUCCUUGAAAAACCUUAACCUCCAA
rnacentral:lncRNA from 1 species